rnacentral:rRNA from 1 species
AGUGAACGCUGGCGGUAGGCCUAACACAUGCAAGUCGAACGGCAGCACAGUAAGAGCCUGCUCUUACGGGUGGCGAGUGGCGGACGGGUGAGGAAUACAUCGGAAUCUACUUUUUCGUGGGGGAUAACGUAGGGAAACUUACGCUAAUACCGCAUACGACCUACGGGUGAAAGCAGGGGAUCUUCGGACCUUGCGCGAUUGAAUGAGCCGAUGUCGGAUUAGCUAGUUGGCGGGGUAAAGGCCCACCAAGGCGACGAUCCGUAGCUGGUCUGAGAGGAUGAUCUGCCACACUGGAACUGAGACACGGUCCAGACUCCUACGGGAGGCAGCAGUGGGGAAUAUUGGACAAUGGGCGCAAGCCUGAUCCAGCCAUACCGCGUGGGUGAAGAAGGCCUUCGGGUUGUAAAGCCCUUUUGUUGGGAAAGAAAAGCAGCAGGUUAAUACCCCGCUGUUCUGACGGUACCCAAAGAAUAAGCACCGGCUAACUUCGUG